CAGCAGCAGCCGCGGGAAUACGUAGGUGGCAAGCGUUGUCCGGAAUUACUGGGCGUAAAGGGCUCGCAGGCGGUUUCUUAAGUCUGAUGUGAAAGCCCCCGGCUCAACCGGGGAGGGUUAUUGGAAACUGGGAAACUUGAGUGCAGAAGAGGAGAGUGGAAUUCCACGUGUAGCGGUGAAAUGCGUAGAGAUGUGGAGGAACACCAGUGGCGAAGGCGACUCUCUGGUCUGUAACUGACGCUAAGGAGCGAAAGCGUGGGGAGCGAACAGGAUUAGAUACCCCCGUAGUCCCUGUCUCUUAUAC
rnacentral:rRNA from 1 species